UUACAAUCUGUGAAACUGAUCUUCCCGUGAAGAAGCGGGAAUUACAAUACUAGACGAGAAGACCCCAUGAAGCUUCAAACUAACACAGCAACUUUACUGUAUCAACAACACCCUAACACAAGUAAGUAAUGACCAUUAGUUUUUGGUUGGGGUAACCGCGGAGUAAAAUAUACCCUCCAUAGUGAAGGGGGCCCCCCCUAAUUCAAGAACCACACCUCUAAAAAUCAGUAUACUGACGAAUCUGACCCAUAUACUUGAUCAAUGAACCAAGUUACUCUGGGGAUAACAGCGCAAUCUAUUUUGAGAGUCCGUAUUGACAAAUGGGUUUACGACCUCGAUGUUGGAUCAGGGCAUCCAAGUGGUGCACCCGCCACUAAAG
rnacentral:rRNA from 1 species